GCCAGCAUGGCGCAGUGGUUUGAGUGUUGGACUGAGACUCUGGAGACCAGGGUUGGAUUCCCGGCUUGGCC